GUUUUUACUUCUUUCUAUUUCAUUUUGUGCAUCUCUCUAUUCAGUUUUUUGUUAGUUAGUUGUGUUUCCUCGUAAUUUCAAAUUUGAAAUUUUGUUUUUCUAAACCUGAUUCAUUUCCUUACGCUAUCGUUGCUCUUUGAUUAUUUAUACACUUCCACAUAUCCCUAUUUUCAUCCUCUUCCCUAACUUCUUAUUCAUUGUCUGUUUAAUUUUCAUUCUUCUUUCAAAUUAUUGACGCGCACAUUUUCAGUUAUCAUCAAAAUUCUCCAUUAUUUGUUGCAAAAUGUUUGUCUAUUUUACUUUUUUUUGGUCUUCAAUGUAAAAGCUUCCUUGUAUCGUUAGAUAUUUUUGAAUAAAAUUUCGCUUUUAAAUCAGGUAAUGGUUAGCAAAUUCAUACGACAUCCAGCUCGAGCUUACACAGAGUGUGCAUGCCUGACUGAACCUUCUCACUGAUUGCUAUUCCUUGUAUCUGUAGCUCUGCAAACAUUUUUGUUUAUGAAUUAUUUUCAGGCAAUGACGUUUUAAUUUGUUUUGUAUUCAGUUUUGCUACCAUUUUUAUUUUGUUCGCGUAUUACACAUUGAAUACACGCUAACAGUAAAUGAAUGAUAUAUAAGACGCUGGCUGUAAUGCGGUGUAUCUGUAGACCAUUUAGUUUAGUGCACGUUAUAAGUAAUAUUUUUAAGUAAUGUUGUAGUUCCUUAUUAGUAUGAUCGACACAUCUGAAGAUAUCAGUCCCAAGUUUGUUUUGCCAUCCUCUUUACUAGAUUUUUUUAUUUUUUUGAUUGAUUUUUUUCCAAACAAGUGAUGGAUGCAGUUACUUUCAUAACACUAAUAGUUAACCUUGAACUGCUAUCUGAAUCAUCAGAUUUUAUGAUUUAGUCACAUAGUGAUGCAUGACAUUCUUUUUAGACGUCGUGCUUUAAUAGUGCGGCUUUCGUCAGAUUUAUAUUUUGAUACUUACAUACUUUUAGUUCUUGAAUUUGCAAGUUUUUACUCAUCUCGCACACAUUUUUAGUUUAAUUUUGUUUGUAUUUGAGUAUUUUGUUAAUGCUUGUUGCUUGCGGCCGAGAAUAACCGUUAACGGAAAGACAUGCACAUGAGCCUGUUUGACUAACAUUCUCGUACACCUGCAUCCUCGCAGAAUUUAUCCGCAUGAUGACGGCCAAGUGAAGAGUUUGCUGCUCUUCUUCUUUGCACUACUGGAGUUCGUGACAAUGAUGACCUCCAAGUGAAGUGCUCGCCUUGUCUUAUUUAAAUACUAUAUCAACUAUUAUUAUCAUGAUUAUUAUUAUUCUGCUGUCAUUACUAUUGUUACUAUCAUUUCUACCGCUGUUAGUCAAUCGAAAGUCAAUAAGGAAAAUAAUUGGGUUCACAUUACUGGCGCAGCAAGGAACGAUGCAGUACCUGAUGAUAAGUUGUAUGGUCACCCAAACUUCCGCCUUCGCUCACCAUAGUUGUCACCAUGAUUUUUUGAGAAGGGUAUAUUGGUCAACAUUAUCCUAAAAUGUCUGCCUGAUCACCUGUGACGGCACUUAGAAUCUGGGAAAUAAAUUCAAUGUUCAAUUGAACAAACAGUUGACACUAUGGACAGAGGGUCUAAAAUAGAAGGCACAUGCAUUGUGGGGGCGGAAGAGGUGAUGGUGCGAUGGUUGAACACAUUGGCCUGAUUGUAUUUAGGUUCCCACCAUUAUUGUGUCUCAUGAUCAUGGCUGGUUAUUCUUCACGUCACCAAUAAGCACUCACUAUUGAACUCGGACGAAUUACUAACUUUAAUGCUGAUCUUGUCCGUCGUUAUUCUUGCUAUGUUUUGUGGUCUGAUAUUUGCGCGGUUCUGGUUUCUUUGGUGGUACUUGCCUUAUAGUUUUGUAGCUCUAGUUCUUUCAACCUUGCUAAUGUGGGAUUGAUUGCUCUUCAUAAACUUCUUCAAGAAUUAAUUCUGUAAGAAUUUCAUAAGUAAUCUAAAAGCUUGUAAUAAAGUUCCAUUCGAUUCUGUGAGUCUGAAUGAAUUUCUUCGCAUUUUCGAUUAACUACUGAGUUCCCCAUUGUACAAUUUAAUUUUCGUUCUCUUAGGUAGCAUUGUAGUUAAUAUCUCGGGGAUAUUGCACUAAUAAUAUUAUUGUCAUUGGCUGUAAAUCAUCUUUAAUAUACGGAGCUCUUUAAAACCUAAUAAAUCCUUUAAUGUUGAACUGAAGAAGUAGCAUGAGCAAGUUAUUCUCUUCGUAGACACAUAGCGUUGGUAUAUGAGCAGAGGCAUCGGGUUGUCACCUCGAAAAUUGGUCAAAUUCCAGAGGUGUAGGUAAGUUUCUACUUCUACUGUUGCUCCAUCUCUACUUUUAUUGAUAGAAGUACAUUUCCCUCACCCACUCCUAUCAAGUAGAUUUAGUUUUCUACACGCCCAUCGAACAGCGAGAGGUUUGAACCGUUGUCUCACUCUUGCUGUGGCUGCCAAACCAGCUUGGCUUUCUUGACUCAUCACGAGCGCACUUACUAGCCAAAACUUCCAUAUUCUUCGAAUUUGGCCCUAUUAAAUUCCACCGGUGAAGAUGUCCAUAUUCCUUCGCUGCUAUGCGAGUGUAUACAAGUCACGUUUAUUUCUAAGCGCUUUGCUUCACCAGCCAAUAUGGCCGUUGAGACUGUAAGAGACUGAAGCCCUUUGAUUUGCAGUGUUUUUUGGAGGGGGAAGAGCAAAGACCUGUUAGCUUAUCCGGCUGCAGUUGACCGCCUUAGGGAUUGUUGUAAUGCCGUCAGGCUUUUAGCACUGCAGUCGUGUUCUCUGCACAAUGGUGACGUGAGUUGGUACGAUAAUACCGGGUGCACGACUCGAGUUUUAACGGUGAUACUGGGUACACACGAGUCUGUACACGGUGGUACCGUGAACACGACGUGGGCCUCAGUCUUUUACCGUCUUUGACGAUGCGAAUUUAAAUGUUCAAAUAUCUCGAGACGCUGCAUUGAGUGUCGCUACAUGUUUUCUGUUUUGCUAAAUCACUGAUAUAAUAAAUAUUUGUCCUGAAAUUUCUCUGUGAGAACAUCCAAAGCCUCGACCGUAUCAUGUAUAGUGAGAUAACAUUUUCUUUAAAACAUUACC